rnacentral:rRNA from 1 species
AGCAGCCGCGGUAAUUCCAGCUCCAAUAGCGUAUAUUAAAGUUGUUGCAGUUAAAAAGCUCGUAGUUGAAUUUCGGGGUUAGUAGGCUGGUCGUGCCAAUGGUAUGUACUGGCUUUACUGAUUCCUCCUUCUUGAAGAACUGUAAUGCCAUUAGUUUGGUGUUGCAGGGAAUCAGGACUGUUACUUUGAAAAAAUUAGAGUGUUUAAAGCAGGCUUACGCUUGAAUACAUUAGCAUGGAAUAAUGAAAUAGGACGUUGAUUCUAUUUUGUUGGUUUCUAGGAUUGACGUAAUGAUUAAUAGGGAUAGUUGGGGGCAUUAGUAUUCAAUUGUCAGAGGUGAAAUUCUUGGAUUUAUUGAAGACUAACUACUGCGAAAGCAUUUGCCAAGGAUGUUUUCAUUAAUCAAGAACGAAAGUUAGGGGAUCGAAGACGAUCAGAUACCGUCGUAGU